rnacentral:piRNA from 1 species
UAUUGUUCUAACUGUAGAAGGCUUUGGGG